rnacentral:rRNA from 1 species
AUUGAACGCUGGCGGCAUGCUUUACACAUGCAAGUCGAACGGUAACAGGUUAAGCUGACGAGUGGCGAACGGGUGAGUAAUGCAUCGGAACGUGCACGAUCGUGGGGGAUAACGCAGCGAAAGCUGCGCUAAUACCGCAUACGAUCUGAGGAUGAAAGCGGGGGACCGUAAGGCCUCGCGCGAUCGGAGCGGCCGAUGUCAGAUUAGGUAGUUGGUGGGGUAAGGGCCCACCAAGCCGACGAGCUGUAGCUGGUCUGAGAGGACGACCAGCCACACUGGGACUGAGACACGGCCCGGACGCCUACGGGAGGCAGCAGUGGGGAAUUUUGGACAAUGGGCGAAAGCCUGAUCCAGCAAUGCCGCGUGCAGGAAGAAGGCCUUCGGGUUGUAAACUGCUUUUGUACGGAGCGAAAAGGUCCUUUCUAAUACAAGGGGCUCAUGACGGUACCGUAAGAAUAAGCACCGGCUAACUACGUGCCAGCAGCCGCCGUAA